AGAACGAACGCUGGCGGCAUGCCUAACACAUGCAAGUCGAACGAGACCUUCGGUUCUAGUGGCGCACGGGUGCGUAACGCGUGGGAACCUGCCCUAAGGUUCGGAAUAACUUCCCGAAAGGGAUGCUAAUACCGGAUAAUGUCUUCGGACCAAAGAUUUAUCGCCUUGGGAUGGGCCCGCGUUGGAUUAGCUAGUUGGUGGGGUAAAGGCCUACCAAGGCGACGAUCCAUAGCUGGUCUGAGAGGAUGAUCAGCCACACUGGGACUGAGACACGGCCCAGACUCCUACGGGAGGCAGCGAGGUGGGGAAUAGUUAGGACAAGUGGGACGAAAGCCUGAUCCGAGCAAUGCCGCGUGAGUGAGUGGAAGGUCCGUUAGGGUUAGUAAAGUCUUACGUUUUACGUGGGGAU
rnacentral:rRNA from 1 species